UACGUAGGGUGCGAGCGUUAAUCGGAAUUACUGGGCGUAAAGCGUGCGCAGGCGGUUUUGUAAGCCAGAUGUGAAAUCCCCGGGCUUAACCUGGGAAUGGCAUUUGGGACUGCAAGGCUCGAGUGCGGCAGAGGAGACUGGAAUUCCUGGUGUAGCAGUGAAAUGCGUAGAUAUUGGGAAGAACACCAGUGGCGAAAGCGGACUUCUGGGUUGUUACUGACGCUGAGGUACGAAAGCGUGGGGAGCAAACGGG
rnacentral:rRNA from 1 species